rnacentral:rRNA from 1 species
UUAAGCGACUAAGCGUACACGGUGGAUGCCCUGGCAGUCAGAGGCGAUGAAGGACGUGCUAAUCUGCGAUAAGCGUCGGUAAGGUGAUAUGAACCGUUAUAACCGGCGAUUUCCGAAUGGGGAAACCCAGUGUGUUUCGACACACUAUCAUUAACUGAAUCCAUAGGUUAAUGAGGCGAACCGGGGGAACUGAAACAUCUAAGUACCCCGAGGAAAAGAAAUCAACCGAGAUUCCCCCAGUAGCGGCGAGCGAACGGGGAGCAGCCCAGAGCCUGAAUCAGUGUGUGUGUUAGUGGAAGCGUCUGGAAAGGCGCGCGAUACAGGGUGACAGCCCCGUACACAAAAAUGCACAUGCUGUGAGCUCGAUGAGUAGGGCGGGACACGUGGUAUCCUGUCUGAAUAUGGGGGGACCAUCCUCCAAGGCUAAAUACUCCUGACUGACCGAUAGUGAACCAGUACCGUGAGGGAAAGGCGAAAAGAACCCCGGCGAGGGGAGUGAAAAAGAACCUGAAACCGUGUACGUACAAGCAGUGGGAGCACGCUUAGGCGUGUGACUGCGUACCUUUUGUAUAAUGGGUCAGCGACUUAUAUUCUGUAGCAAGGUUAACCGAAUAGGGGAGCCGAAGGGAAACCGAGUCUUAACUGGGCGUUAAGUUGCAGGGUAUAGACCCGAAACCCGGUGAUCUAGCCAUGGGCAGGUUGAAGGUUGGGUAACACUAACUGGAGGACCGAACCGACUAAUGUUGAAAAAUUAGCGGAUGACUUGUGGCUGGGGGUGAAAGGCCAAUCAAACCGGGAGAUAGCUGGUUCUCCCCGAAAGCUAUUUAGGUAGCGCCUCGUGAAUUCAUCUCCGGGGGUAGAGCACUGUUUCGGCAAGGGGGUCAUCCCGACUUACCAACCCGAUGCAAACUGCGAAUACCGGAGAAUGUUAUCACGGGAGACACACGGCGGGUGCUAACGUCCGUCGUGAAGAGGGAAACAACCCAGACCGCCAGCUAAGGUCCCAAAGUCAUGGUUAAGUGGGAAACGAUGUGGGAAGGCCCAGACAGCCAGGAUGUUGGCUUAGAAGCAGCCAUCAUUUAAAGAAAGCGUAAUAGCUCACUGGUCGAGUCGGCCUGCGCGGAAGAUGUAACGGGGCUAAACCAUGCACCGAAGCUGCGGCAGCGACGCUUAUGCGUUGUUGGGUAGGGGAGCGUUCUGUAAGCCUGCGAAGGUGUGCUGUGAGGCAUGCUGGAGGUAUCAGAAGUGCGAAUGCUGACAUAAGUAACGAUAAAGCGGGUGAAAAGCCCGCUCGCCGGAAGACCAAGGGUUCCUGUCCAACGUUAAUCGGGGCAGGGUGAGUCGACCCCUAAGGCGAGGCCGAAAGGCGUAGUCGAUGGGAAACAGGUUAAUAUUCCUGUACUUGGUGUUACUGCGAAGGGGGGACGGAGAAGGCUAUGUUGGCCGGGCGACGGUUGUCCCGGUUUAAGCGUGUAGGCUGGUUUUCCAGGCAAAUCCGGAAAAUCAAGGCUGAGGCGUGAUGACGAGGCACUACGGUGCUGAAGCAACAAAUGCCCUGCUUCCAGGAAAAGCCUCUAAGCAUCAGGUAACAUCAAAUCGUACCCCAAACCGACACAGGUGGUCAGGUAGAGAAUACCAAGGCGCUUGAGAGAACUCGGGUGAAGGAACUAGGCAAAAUGGUGCCGUAACUUCGGGAGAAGGCACGCUGAUAUGUAGGUGAAGCGACUUGCUCGUGGAGCUGAAAUCAGUCGAAGAUACCAGCUGGCUGCAACUGUUUAUUAAAAACACAGCACUGUGCAAACACGAAAGUGGACGUAUACGGUGUGACGCCUGCCCGGUGCCGGAAGGUUAAUUGAUGGGGUUAGCGCAAGCGAAGCUCUUGAUCGAAGCCCCGGUAAACGGCGGCCGUAACUAUAACGGUCCUAAGGUAGCGAAAUUCCUUGUCGGGUAAGUUCCGACCUGCACGAAUGGCGUAAUGAUGGCCAGGCUGUCUCCACCCGAGACUCAGUGAAAUUGAACUCGCUGUGAAGAUGCAGUGUACCCGCGGCAAGACGGAAAGACCCCGUGAACCUUUACUAUAGCUUGACACUGAACAUUGAGCCUUGAUGUGUAGGAUAGGUGGGAGGCUUUGAAGUGUGGACGCCAGUCUGCAUGGAGCCGACCUUGAAAUACCACCCUUUAAUGUUUGAUGUUCUAACGUUGACCCGUAAUCCGGGUUGCGGACAGUGUCUGGUGGGUAGUUUGACUGGGGCGGUCUCCUCCUAAAGAGUAACGGAGGAGCACGAAGGUUGGCUAAUCCUGGUCGGACAUCAGGAGGUUAGUGCAAUGGCAUAAGCCAGCUUGACUGCGAGCGUGACGGCGCGAGCAGGUGCGAAAGCAGGUCAUAGUGAUCCGGUGGUUCUGAAUGGAAGGGCCAUCGCUCAACGGAUAAAAGGUACUCCGGGGAUAACAGGCUGAUACCGCCCAAGAGUUCAUAUCGACGGCGGUGUUUGGCACCUCGAUGUCGGCUCAUCACAUCCUGGGGCUGAAGUAGGUCCCAAGGGUAUGGCUGUUCGCCAUUUAAAGUGGUACGCGAGCUGGGUUUAGAACGUCGUGAGACAGUUCGGUCCCUAUCUGCCGUGGGCGCUGGAGAACUGAGGGGGGCUGCUCCUAGUACGAGAGGACCGGAGUGGACGCAUCACUGGUGUUCGGGUUGUCAUGCCAAUGGCACUGCCCGGUAGCUAAAUGCGGAAGAGAUAAGUGCUGAAAGCAUCUAAGCACGAAACUUGCCCCGAGAUGAGUUCUCCCUGACCCUUUAAGGGUCCUGAAGGAACGUUGAAGACGACGACGUUGAUAGGCCGGGUGUGUAAGCGCAGCGAUGCGUUGAGCUAACCGGUACUAAUGAACCGUGAGGCUUAACCU